rnacentral:rRNA from 1 species
GAGUUUGAUCAUGGCUCAGAACGAACGCUGGCGGCAGGCUUAACACAUGCAAGUCGAGCGCCCCGCAAGGGGAGCGGCAGACGGGUGAGUAACACGUGGGAACGUACCCUUUACUACGGAAUAACGCAGGGAAACUUGUGCUAAUACCGUAUGUGCCCUUUUGGGGAAAGAUUUAUCGGUAAGGGAUCGGCCCGCGUUGGAUUAGCUAGUUGGUGGGGUAAAGCCUACCAAGGCGACGAUCCAUAGCUGGUCUGAGAGGAUGAUCAGCCACAUUAGGACUGAGACACGGCCCAAACUCCUACGGGAGGCAGCAGUGGGGAAUAUUGGACAAUGGGCGCAAGCCUGAUCCAGCCAUGCCGCGUGAGUGAUGAAGGCCCUAGGGUUGUAAAGCUCUUUCACCGGAGAAGAUAAUGACGGUAUCCGGAGAAGAAGCCCCGGCUAACUUCGUGCCAGCAGCCGCGGU